AUUGAACGCUGGCGGCAGGCUUAACACAUGCAAGUCGAGCGGGGGAAGGUAGCUUGCUACCGGACCUCGCGGCGGACGGGUGAGUAAUGCUUAGGAAUCUGACGAUUAGUGGGGGACAACAUCUCGAAAGGGGUGAUAAUACCGCAUACGUCCUACGGGAGAAAGAAGGGGAUCUUCGAACCUUGCGCAACUAGAUGAGCCUAAGUCGGAUUAGCUAGGUGGUGGGGUAAAGGCCUACCAAGGCGACGAUCUGUAGCGGGUCUGAGAGGAUGAUCCGCCACACUGGUACUGAGACACGGCCCAGACUCCUACGGGAGGCAGCAGGGGGGAAUAUUGGACAAGGGGGGAACCCUGAUCCAGCCAUGCCGCGUGUGGGAAGAAGGCCUUAUGGUUGUAAAGCACUUUAAGCGAGGAGGAGGCUACUCUAGUUAAUACCUAGGGAUAGUGGACGUUACUCGCAGAAUAAUCACCGGCUAACUCUGUGCCAGCAGCCGCAGUAA
rnacentral:rRNA from 1 species